AACGAACGCUGGCGGCGUGCUUAACACAUGCAAGUCGAACGGUAAAGCCCUUUCGGGGGUGAUUAGAGUGGCGCACGGGUGAGUAAUACAUAGGAACGUACCUAUUGGUGUGGAAUAACUAGAGGAAACCCUAGCUAAUACCGCAUGAUGUCGCAAGACCAAAGGAGGCCUCUACUUGUAAGCUUCCGCCGAUAGAGCGGCCUAUGUCCUAUUAGCUUGUUGGUGAGGUAAAGGCUCACCAAGGCGAUGAUGGGUAGCUGGUUUGAGAGGAUGAUCAGCCACACUGGGACUGAGACACGGCCCAG
rnacentral:rRNA from 1 species